AUCAGCUUCAUUCACUCUUCUUCUAACUACCUGCCCGCGAUAGUUUUAGAGGAAACUGCUGUGGAAAACUCGGCCAGAAGCGUCAAGUGAAUCCAUAACAUCACCACAAACGUCUUUUCAAGCCAGAUUGGAGAAAGAAAAAUGAAGGGAGUAAAAAGAGUGAAGUGAGGAAGAGUGAGGUGAAGAGAAGGAAAGGAAGAAAGAUCAGGAAGACGAUUGGAGGAGAAGAACAAGUUGAGAGUAAGAAGAGUGACACAAGGAGAGUGAAGAAGAGCAGACAGAGGAGUUGGCAGCCGGAGAAGAACGACAGUGGUAGAACAUCAACAGACAAAAAAGCAGAAAGCCUCUCUGAUUGGCCGUGUUGGUAUGCCCUCUGUCACCACAUUCUUCAAGAAGGUAAAGCCUUCCCAAGAAGAAUAUGGUUUAGCUGUGCAGGAGGGUGUCUUUGCAUUCCACACUAUGUGACACAAUCAUAGUUACAGAUCUAUGGACUGCACAGCACAACUGACACGGAAGCUUUAUGAGACAAAGUUUACAUGUGCUAGGACAAAAUGUGACGCCACAGUGAGUAACGUGUUAGCACCAUGUGCUAGGACAAAAUGUGACGCCACAGUGAGUAACGUGUUAGCACCAUGUGCUAGGACAAAAUGUGACGCCACAGUGAGUAACGUGUUAGCACCAUGUGCUAGGACAAAAUGUGACGCCAUAGUGAGUAACGUGUUAGCACCAUGUGCUAGGACAAAAUGUGACGCCACAGUGAGUAACGUGUUAGCACCAUGUGCUAGGACAAAAUGUGACGCCACAGUGAGUAACGUGUUAGCACCAUGUGCUAGGACAAAAUGUGAUGCCACAGUGAGUAACGUGUUAGCACCAUGUGCUAGGACAAAAUGUGACACCAUAGUGAGUAACGUGUUAGCACCAUGUGCUAGGACAAAAUGUGACGCCACAGUGAGUAACGUGGUAGCACCAUGUGCUAGGACAAAAUGUGACGCCACAGUGAGUAACGUGUUAGCACCAUGUCCUAGGACAAAAUGUGACGCCACAGUGAGUAACGUGUUAGCACCAUGUGCUAGGACAAAAUGUGACGCCACAGUGAGUAAUAUUUUAGCACCAUGUGCUAGGACAAAAUGUGACGUCAUACUGAGUAACGUGUUAGCACCAUGUGCUAGGACAUA